rnacentral:rRNA from 1 species
GUCUACGGCCGUGCCACCCUGAACAAGCCCAAUGUCUGAUCUCGGAAGCUAAGCAGUGUCGGGCCUGGUUAGUACUUGGAUGGGAGACCUCCUAGGAAGACCAGGUACUGUAGGCA